rnacentral:rRNA from 1 species
UGGGGAAUAUUGGACAAUGGGCGAAAGCCUGAUCAAGACAUGCCGCAUGAGUGAAGAAGGCCUUUGGGUUGUAAAGCUCUUUUAGUGAGGAAGAUAAUGACGGUACUCACAGAAGAAGUCCUGGCUAACUACGUGCCAGCAGCCGCGGUAAUACGGAGAGGGCUAGCGUUAUUCGGAAUUAUUGGGCGUAAAGGGCGCGUAGGCUGGUUAAUAAGUUAAAAGUGAAAUCCCGAGGCUUAACCUUGGAAUUGCUUUUAAAACUAUUAAUCUAGAGAUUGAAAGAGGAUAGAGGAAUUCCUGAUGUAGAGGUAAAAUUCGUAAAUAUUAGGAGGAACACCGGUGGCGAAGGCGUCUAUCUGGUUCAAAUCUGACGCUGAAGCGCGAAGGCGUGGGGAGCAAACA